rnacentral:misc_RNA from 1 species
UCUCCGUUGGUGAACCAGCGGAGGGAUCAUUACAGAGUUGCAAAACUCCCAAACCAUUUUGAACGUUACCUAUCCCGUUGCUUCGGCGGGCGGCCCGGGCCCCGCGCCCGGCGCCCCCCGGCCCCCCGUGGGCGCCCGCCGGAGGUUAACCAAACCCUUGAAUUGCAUGGCCUCUCUGAGUCUUCUGUACUGAAUAAGUCAAAACUUUCAACAACGGAUCUCUUGGUUCUG